GGGGAACACAGGGAAGAGGGGAAACGUUUCUCAGUUUAGAAAGUAAUAAUGCAGCUUAAUUGUAGUGGCAGCUGGCAGCGUGAGGCAAAGUGAGGUGACGCCCAAUUACUGCACUUGGCAGCUGUUUGCUCUGCUGAGUGUACUGAUGGAGGGUGGCAGGCUCCUUCCAGCAGGCGGGUUGGAGAUGAAGACUGGGAGAUGCACCAGGAGGGAGAUCCCUCUGAUCCCAAACAGAGGGGUGGGGAACUCCGAGCUGCUCCCAAAGGGACCGGGCAGAAAAAGGCAAGGCAAGGAAGCCCAUCUGAGAAUGGAGACCAAUUCCAUCUUCAGGAAAGGUGUAGAAAUAGAAAGAAACAUGAACAGAGUGGAAGAAGUCAGUGUGAAAAAGCGUCAGAGCCAAGGGAGCCCUCGGAGCCUUCUGCUAACACCACUGCUGAGUUGUCUGCAGUUGUCUGGGCCACCUCAUCUCUUCAGAGCUGCCCUCGCCAUCCACAUCUCCUGCCAUCCUAGCCUGGCGUCGGUCCAUCUGUCCAUCCCCUCUUUAGUUCAACCUCUCCCUUUGCAUCUCCUCUGCUGAAAUCACAUCACCGUUGGUUUCUCCCAUCCUCCUCCAAAAGGGGAUUUUCAUCAAGUCUGCACUCGCAGACAACCUUAGAAAACAGAGACUCUGCCUUGCUAGGAGGAGAGGAAGGACUUUGGAGAGCCUCAUCUCGCUCACACGCCCUGCGUCUGCAUGGGCGCCCGUGGUUUUGCAACCCAGCAGACAGCAAUAGCUGAUAUUUUUAGUGCUGCCAGACACUCGAUACCUGCCAAGGUCACUUUCUGACAAAAGCGAUGAUGAGCCGGCAUGGCAGUGUGUAACAACCCCGUCACUUCCCAGCAAUUGGCUUUAACGUGCGUGCAGCCACUUGCCAAGGCGAGAUGCAGCUGGCGAGGCACGACUGCGGCUGCUGCACGGCUGCGCCUCUGCCCCUGCUCAGUGCGUGGCCCUGGGUCCUGUGCAGCUGCUGAACACUGUGCUGCUGAGCAAUGGGCUUUGCUGGGAUGCUGCUGGAGCAACAGCUGCCCUCUGUUUGGGACUGAGCAUCGUCUCGUCACUCAUUUCACUCAUGGGGAGACAAAACCCGGACAAGCGCACGUUGAGUGGGAAAAAAAAGGACAGCCUGAUUUGUUUUCCUCUAAGCCCUGUGUGAUGAAUGCCGCGGAGGAAAAAAGCAGGACUGUCAGAACUGGGAGAGAAAAUCAUUUCUCUCUUCUUGUUCCAUGAACCCAAGUGGUUAAAAUGAGCACCAAGGAAAGGAGGGAAUUUAUUCCUCUGCCUGUGGGCAGCGGAACUCCCAGGCGCAUCCAUGCCACCAGGUGGGACUACUUUAUAUUGUAACUCUGCUGUGGUCAGCUAUUAUCUCAUAGACCCGUCUUCUACUGAACUCCCCCUCUCCUUCUUUAGGCAGAUAAAAGCCUGUCUGCAACUUCAGAGUCAGCUCAGGUGACUCUGGGUGGGAGAUGCAUCCCCGUCCACACUCAGACACUGCAAGAGGCAAACUCCAAAUGGAGGUGACAGCCUCGUGGGCAGUGGUGAACUGGGCUGGCAGCUUCUCUGCACUGCCCAAACAGAACGAUUUUGCACGUCCGGUGCCUUCUGCAAGUGUUAAUGAACUAACCCUUAUGAUAACUCUCUGAAGGAAGAGCUCCAUGCAGAGGGGAAGGCGAGGCCAAGGCUCAGCACAGCUUGCAGGGCAUGGAAAAAUCUCCAUGGCUCAAACAGCUGUCAAGCAUUGCUGGUAGGAACAGUGCAGAUCAGAAGAAAACUACAUUUAUUCCAUCCUUAAAUCAAAUUAGUGGCUAAGGAAGGUAAACUGAGGCAUAGUUCAUCACAUUAAGAUCUUAAAGCCUAGAGCAAGCGUCAGACCACAAAGGCUGAGCUCGAGUGGCACACACCAGACAGUUCCCUCCAGCUGCAGAUUACUGUCUCUGCUAAAUGACUUUAAACCUAAUGACACGUGACACGCAAAGAUCAGACUGCUCAGCACUGCAAGAAAUCCAGUGAGAAUGAUGGUUUAUGAAGAACAAACCUCAGGAGGAUCCCAUGCAACCCAGCACAAAUAUCACUUUGGAUGGGAAGGAAUGCUGGAACAGUGGAUUUGCAAUCUCACCAACAUGUAAAAGCUGGGCUGGAUGUUUAGGAGGAGGUGAUUGUCACGGUGUGCCUGGGCAGAGGCCAUACUGACCACAGAAAGCAAGAUUCAGACACUGAAAAAUUGACCAUUUCAAGAUUAAACUACAAAUUUAUAUCUGACUUAUCAUUUUCCUCUUAAUGCAUGAACGUCUUAUCUGAAGCUCAGCAGAGCUGCACGCUCCUGCAGGCUAUGGAAAGCAAUUUUCUUAAUGAAAGAAUAUUAGCUCAACAAGCUAACAAACCCUGAUCUUUGACAGUGACCGCCUGACUGCCCAUCCCAUCGGGAUGGCGGGGUGGACAUGCUCAGGCCAUGACCUGAAAUGCAGUCAAAAGCCCCAGCAGCAGUAGAGAAGUGACGAAACCAAUGACCACGUGGACACCAACCUGGGAGUUUCUGAGUCCUAAAACAGCAAGGAAAUGACUGGGGGAGAUGCUGAGAUGGACCUGAGAAGUCAAGGAUGGAAAAAUCCAUCUGCUACUGCUCAGAUGGCAUACCCAGAAGUCACAGUUGUUCUUCUAGAGCUGGGAAGCAGCUCUGGCAGCCUGAGCUGAUGCUGAGUCCUCCAGUCCUGCCUGCUCACCUCUGUCACUGGACAUUUAUUGACUGGGGAGGGAUUAACAAGGAGGGGGGCCUGAAAGCUGAACCAAACCUUGGAACAUGCUGCUCUGACCACGGAACAUGAGAGAUGGCAUCGGAUGUGAUGGCAAUAACCUCCCCUGUCUAAUUUGUCAUCAAGAAAGCUUCAAAUUGGAAAACAUAACAGUAACAGUACCUUUCCAAGAGGGCACAUGUAACUCUUUCCAAGCUCAGACCACCAGCACGUGCUGCCUAUGCAGGAUGAGGAACCAUGCUGAAGGUUUCAGCCAGCCAUUCUGGGCUUCCCAGUGAAAAAUAAGCUUUACUUCACCCAACCAUCACCGUCCAUCACCUCCUUGAACACCCACAGCCGCUGUGGACGUGGCCACGAUGUAAAGGGACUGCAUCACGUGCCCAGAGAUGUGUGUGAUCUGCUCGGGGUGCUGGAGAUCUCGCUUGCCUCCUCCAGCUACACGCUGUGAUGCCACCAACCCCACAGCCCUGCGGGACCGGAGGUGACUUUGUGCUGAGCUGUGAAGUCAGGCCGAGAAACAGGCAGCUUUUCUGGGGCAUCUUCCUCCUCCUUGCAGCAAUGUAAAACACGGUGUCAUUAUUUUCCUUUAUUAAAGUGGAACAAACUUAAGAUGCUUAAACGUUGAUUAAAGGCUUUGAUCUCUGAAAGUGCGAUUAGUGUCCUUCUGUCGAGGAAAGUCACUUUGAGGAAUGUAUAUGCUGAUUCCACAUAAUCCCCCCAUUAAUUCUGUGUCAGAUACAGUGUUUACUGGAAGCACACGACAAGCCUUUUCUUCUUCCUUUUUUUUUCCCCUACGAAUUGUUCUUAACCCGGCAUUUCCGUGCAGUUUGCCCCAUUAUGUAUGGAGAUGGAAGGGAUAAGGGGACAGCCUGAAGGUGUGGCUCUGCAAGGGGUGAACACCACAGCAACCAGCAGCCAAGGGGGUACGAUGCUCCUCUACAGAAUUCCACCACUCAGGCUCUCCUACGGCUUUGUAGGGGAAAGACAGCCAGCAGCAUUCCCUGGGCUCGGGUCUGGGAGCCCCCCUGGCUGCAAUGAGGAGGCAGAAGUUUGUGCCUCAGUCUCCCCAUUUGCAAAGCACAAAUGUUUCAGUCUACGCACAAGCCUUCCACCACUGCAUGCUGUUCCUGCUCCAAGCACAUCCCCAACCUGUUGGCAGUGCCCGUUCAUUCUGCUGCUGGCAUCUCCUCGUGCAGGGGUUUCCAACCAGACCAGCAUGGUGGUAGAAGCAGAGGCGGUUCCCUUUGGGGUCACUCUCUGAGGAGGAUGAAGCUGUUAUUGUACAUCACUGCUGUACUAAUCCAGCAUUUCAGUUUUAGUUUUAGAAACCAAAGAAAGUCUGACACAGAUUCAGACCAGAGCAC
ensembl:lncRNA